UUUGUAACUAGAAUCAAAUCUUUGAUUCAUUUUGAUUAUCUUAAAGUCUCUGAUUUGACAUUUUCUCAGCCUAUUUUAGGGCAGGGACAAUGUACUUUCUUCUGUAGCAGCUUCAAGCUGAAAUGGACAGUGCCCAGAAAGGCUGAAAAGUUAGUCAAAGAUGAGAUGGAGGAGGUGAUGGUGCUGCCCAGGGUCGUCUGGCCAGAGCUACAGAGCAUUGCCUCCAAGUCUGUUCUCUUUCUCUACCAGUCAAGUGAAAGGUAGAGGAGGAAAGCAGGGUGUUUGCCACUCUUAUCCAGAAGGAAAGGGAUGCCUGCUUCCGUGGAUGAGCUACCAAUUGUCUUUGCCACAGUACCAGGCCCUCCUCCUCUGUAAAUGGUUGGAUCUAGAGAUCUACUGGAGUGAAGAUACUCAUUUAACCUGAUAUCACCUAGCUAAAAUUACAGAAGGCAAGGCGAUGAAAGGAGACAGAGACAGAGUCCCACAUUGGAGCACCGGACAGAAAU